rnacentral:rRNA from 1 species
GACGAACGCUGGCGGCGUGCCUAACACAUGCAAGUCGAACGAUGAAGCUGAAGCUUUUGUUUUGGUGGAUUAGUGGCGAACGGGUGAGUAAUACGUGAGUAACCUGCCCUUGUCUUUGGGACAGCCUCGGGAAACCGUGGGUAAUACCGGAUACACCCCCGACGCCGCAUGGCGCCGGGGGGAAAGCUCCGGCGGGGGGGGAUGGGCCCGCGGCCUGUUAGCUAGUUGGCGGGGCAACGGCCCACCAAGGCGACUAUGGGUAGCUGGGUUGAGAGACCGACCAGCCAGAUUGGGACUGAGACACGGCCCAG